AUGUUUCUUUCCCAUUUCCAACAUGGCUUUGUUCUCUCGUGUGUUGAUGCAGACAGAACCCCUAGGCUGGAUCCAGUGCUGCGCAUUCCCAAAUCUACCCUUUCAACUGUCACCUCACUGCACCAAAUCUCAGAGAAACACCAAGAACCACCCAGUCUAAUCAGUGAUUCAUGGCGCUUGAAACACACGCUGGGAACAGUAUUUGGCAUCGUGACCAUCAUCCUCAUUAUCACGAUCACACUCGGAGUGGCCUACCACAAAAAGAAAGCAAAAGGUAAGAAUUCAAAUUUCCACAAGCAAGAUGCAAUGCUGAAGUCACAGGGUACUCAUGCUGUGAAUAAGCUAGCAUGCAGCAUGAAUUUUGUUUCUGUAGACCCAGAAUACGGCACAUCUUCUUUUUCCUCGGAUAAAUGUGGAAGAAGCCUCAGCAGUGCACCUGACAUCAUCCCAGUAAGAGCUUCCCCAUUUGACUCAUGCUCAGAUGCCUGUGGAACAACUGCAUGCUAUUUUGUAACACUUGAACAUUGUUAGUUCUGUUGUAAGGUUGAAGAGCCCUAAAGGUGAAUGUGUGCAAAAGCUAGUCACAGUCCCUACAUCAGCCUGCUGCUUUCACCGUAAUCCAUACUGUAAUUAUGGAUAAGUUAAGUUACCUUCAGCUACAGUAAUGAUCAAGUAAUCUGACAAUUAUUUUGACGAUUAAUCAAAUAUUAAAAACUUUUUAAAAAAUAAAUAAAUAAAAAAACUGAAUGUCAUACAUGACAUUUUAAAAAUGUCAAAACACUUAGAAAAAAUAGUAGAAAAAUACACGAUAGAAGGCCUAGAAAAAAACUUUAUCAUAGGGCCAGGCAUCAGUACUGUGAUGAAUUAUACUUUUCUGAGCUAUCGUCAGUACUUGUCAGAAAUGAUAGUACCAACUGCAUGUUUCACUAUAAAAAGAGUAACAUUUGGUUGUCUAACUGGAUUUAGUGCAACACAGUUUGCCAAAUAUUGAACCAAAAAUUAUUGUAAACAAAGUUUUGAUAGUAUUUUUUCCCCUUUUUUCUCUGUUCCAACUGAUCAGAUGUUAAAUAAAUAAAUAAAUAAAUAAAUAACAAUAUUGUACUACAUCAUGUCAUCCCUAAUGCAAAAUAGCCAACUAAUCACUGCUGAUUCUUUGAGAAUGUAUAUUUUUAUUUAAUAUAUAGUUAUACAUCUUGAAAUAUUGCAUGUGGUUGCUGCGAGUAUUUUCAUUCUUGAUCUGUUUGGAUUCUAUACCAGCCACAACAGGAGCCCAACAGCAUCAUCUACACUACUGUGCAUUUUAAGCCCCAUGAAGAAACAUCUCAGCUGUAUGCCAACUUGUGCCUCCACAAUUCAGAAUGUGCACUGAAGUCACAGGAGAGUGUGGAGUACUCUACCAUAGCCAGAAUGGGUGGUAAGAAUUAGAGCUGUCCACUGUCAUGAACAAUAUGUGACAAUAUUGCUUUUAAUAUCUAAUAUUUGAUUUUUAAAUGUUUAAGAAAUGCUUACAUGAUUUGUUUUGGUGCAAGGGCUCAGUUACUUUUGAGACAAGAAAAAUGGUUUGGGGGUUGUUAUGUAUGAAAACAGCCUACAGCGUUCACCCUCAAACUACAGCUGAGAAUCUGCACUUUGAGCAUAUAUUGAUUAUCUAAUUCCAGCUCCAAUGUUCUGUGGUAGACAGUUAAAAUGACUACUGUGUCAACACCCAAAUAUUUAUGGACAUGACUAUACUUAGUUGUCAGUGGUGGACAGUAACUAAGUAAAUGUAAUUAGUUACUGUACUUAAGUAAAGUACAGAUACACAAAAAAAACUACUUAAGUUUCUCCGUUCUCGGCUUUUUCCUUUCAGUCCACUACAUUUCAGAGUCUAAUAUCCGACUUUUUCCUCCUUUUUUUGAGAAAUCUGUCGUUCCUUUUGGUUUCUGUGUGUAUAAAAACGUAACAUGUCAAAAUGGACUUUCACCUGAAAUGAGUUCAUGAAGCCAGUCUGGUUAUAAAAAUGAUAACAGGACAUCAGAGCCAGAAUUCCUCUUUUAGUACUUUUACUUUAUACUUAAGUACAUUUGAAGGUAAAUACUUUAGUACUUUUACUCAAGUGGAGGUCUAAAGGGAGGAACUUCUACUUUUACUGGAGGAAUAUUUUACCCUGGGUAGAUCUACUCAAGUACACGAUUUGUGUACUCCGUCCAGCUCUGUUAGUUGUUGAGCCUUCUGUGGAGCCAUCUGUUAAAUAUAUGUUUUCUACUGACACUGAACAAUGAAUAACGUGUACUUAAUGUUGGCUCUGACUGGAAAUAAAUUGUAUAACUGUUGCACAGUGUUGUAUAUUGUGGAAAUAUUUAUGUUUAUUAUUCAAACCUGACAUGGCCUUUAAAGUGACCUCAUUACAAUGCUGUAGAUGAUUUUUUUCACUGUUCACUGUUGUCAUGGUGAUGGAAAUGACCUCUAUGGGUUAUUUAAUUCUAUAUUUAUAUAGAAAAACGUGAGAAGUAGUGAAAUCUGUUCAUUUACAAUGUGAAUAAAAUUCUAAUGAUCUAAGACAACUGAUGGAGUCUCUCUAGUGUGUGUGUGUGUGUGUGUGUGUGUGUGUGUGUGUGUGUGUGUGCGCGCAUGCC
ensembl:lncRNA